UGGAUUGGGAAAGCUUACACAAUGCC
rnacentral:piRNA from 1 species